rnacentral:rRNA from 1 species
GACGAACGCUGGCGGCGUGCCUAAUACAUGCAAGUCGAACGCAGUUUCGAACGGGUGAGUAACGCGUAUGUAACUGCCUCAUAGCGGGGGAUAACUAUUGGAAACGAUAGCUAAUACCGCAAACUGUUAGAUGGACCUGCGUUGUAUUAGCGUGUUGGAGAGGUAAAGGCUCACCAAGGCGACGAUACAUAGCCGAGCUGAGAGGGUGAUCGGCCCAACUGGGACUGGGAAACGGCCCAGACUCCUACGGGAGGCAGCAGUAGGGAAACUUCGGAAAUGGACGGAAGGCUGACCGAGGAAAGCCGCGUGAGUGAAGAAGGUUUUUGGAUCGUAAAGCUCUGUUGAUAGAGAAGCGGUAACUACCCAGAAAGGGACGGCUAACUACGUGCCAGCAGCCGCGGUAAUUC